CCUACGGGGGGCAGCAGUGGGGAAUAUUGGACAAUGGGGGGAACCCUGAUCCAGCCAUGCCGCGUGUGUGAAGAAGGCCCUCGGGUUGUAAAGCACUUUCAGUGAGGAAGAACACCUGGUGGUUAAUACCCAUCAGGAAAGACAUCACUCACAGAAGAAGCACCGGCUAACUCCGUGCCAGCAGCCGCGGUAAUACGGAGGGUGCGAGCGUUAAUCGGAAUUACUGGGCGUAAAGCGCGCGUAGGUGGCUUGAUAAGCCGGUUGUGAAAGCCCCGGGCUCAACCUGGGAACGGCAUCCGGAACUGUCAAGCUAGAGUGCAGGAGAGGAAGGUAGAAUUCCCGGUGUAGCGGUGAAAUGCGUAGAGAUCGGGAGGAAUACCAGUGGCGAAGGCGGCCUUCUGGACUGACACUGACACUGAGGUGCGAAAGCGUGGGUAGCAAACAGGAUUAGAUACCCCAGUAGUC
rnacentral:rRNA from 1 species